AAAUCCAUAAAUGUCAUCCGGGCAUUAGGUCAACCCAAAAGACAUAACUAAGACCUCAAAAUACCCAUAUCGAGUACAGAAAGUGGUCUUGGGGAUAUCCACCUCCCUAAUCUUUAACUGAUGAUACCUGGAUCGAAGAUCAAUCUUGGAGAAAAACUUAGCACCUUGCAACUGAUCAAGCAAAUUAUCUAUCCUUGGAAGAGAAUACUUACACACGAAUAGCACCGGUGCACCCUAAGGGGAAACACAAGGACGGAUGAAACCUUUAUCUAAAAGAUCCUUGAGUUGCUCAUUUAGCCUCUUCAACUCAGUUAGAUAAAUUCUAUAAGGAGGAAUAGAGAUUGAACGAGUGUCCAGAGUGAGAUCAAUCCCAAACUCAAUCUUUCUAUCGGGAUGGACACUAGAAAGGUCAUUAGGGAAAACCUCAAAAAUUUAUUCACCGCUGGGACAGAAUGCAAGAAGGACCCUCUAGUAAAAAUCUUUAACCCAGACUAGAUAAUAGAGACACCCCUUAGAGAUUAAUCUCCGAGCUCUAAGAUACAAUAUGAACUUCCCCUUAGGAGUUAGGGAACCACCCUUCCACUCAAUAAUUGGCUCAUUAGGGAAUUUAAAGACAACCUUAUGAGUUCAACAUCUAGAGAAGUAUAGCACGAGUGCAACCCAUCCAUCCCUAAUAUGAUAUCAAAAUAAACCAUAUCUAACUCAAACAGAUCCACCAAAGUCUCCCGACUACCCACAGAUACUACACAACCCCAAUAGACUUUACCAGCUGCCACAGAAUCAACCAUCAAGGUAGAAAUAGAAAAAGCGUCUGAAAGACACUCGGGGCUAAAACGAAAAUGCACAGCCAUAAAUUGGGUCACAUAAGAGAGAGCGAACCCCGUACCAAGUAAAUAGUACACAUCACAAGAAAAGAGUUUCAACGUACCAUUCAUGACAUUAUGUGAUGCCUCGGACUCCUGUCAGGUAGUGAGAGCAUAGAGACAAUUCUAACUAGUGUUGGAGCUAGAUAGUGUACCCUUUGGUACCGGAUGUAAAGAAAAAAUAAUCGGAACCUUGUUUUCUCCCAAAGCAACCUUGGCCACUUGACAAUUUCUAAUCGCGUGCCCUGGCUGACGAUAACUAAAGCACUUAUCCCUUUGUUCUUCAUAGUAACCCCGAUACAAUCGACCAAAAAAUCUGCAAAGAGUAUGAUAGAGCUGACUGAGCCUCACUAGGCUAAGAUUGGACACCCUAUGCCCUAAAGUUGUUGCCAUCUCAGAAAUGCCAGUCUCCUGAUGGCUUUAGGUAGGGAGCACUAGCCAUCGAAUAAGACCCUGACCUGCUGCACUUCUUCUUGGGCGACUUACCACCCUUCCUGCCACUUUGUUGUUGGCCACCACACUGCUCAAAUAUUUUAAACUUCUUGCCCUGCCUCUCCCCUAACUUAUUUUGCUUCUUCUUCUCUUCUUCAACCUAUUUCAUGUAUACCACUAACCUAGAGAUAUCCAUGUCCUUGUUCAACAAGGAUGCCUUACUCUCCAAAAUCAAGUCUUUGGACAACCCAAAAGCGAACUUCCUCAUCCUAGAUCUUAUGCUAUAAACCAAUUCCAUAGAAUACCACGAUAACUGGUGAAACUAAAAGGCAUACCCCUUAACUAACAUCUUACCCUGCUUUAGAUUAACAAACUCUUUUUUUUUGCCUCCCUCAACUCCUGGGGAAAGAAGCAGUCCAGAAAAAUGUUAGAAAAAUCCUCCCACAGAGAUGACUCAGCAUUGUUACCCCUUGACUAAUCCCAUUCCUCUUACCAUUAGUACGGUACAUCAUUCAGCUGGUAGGCGGAAAAUGUCAUGCCCUCUGCAUUUGUGGCAUGCGUAAUAUGCCGAUCUUUUCCAUCUUAUCCAGAAAUCCUAAGGAUCCUUCUCUACCUCAACAUUAAUAAAGGUUAGAGGAUUCAACCUCAUGAGUUGACCAACCCUUGUGGCCUCAAAAGAUGGAGUAACAGAAGCACCACACUCAGCCUUAGAAGCUACCAACAGAGCCAAUAUAUGGAUAGAUUGACGGAACUCAGCAUUUAUCAUGUCAUCCUUAGUAGCUCAAGGAGGAUUGGAGGGAACCAGUGGAACUGCAAGAAGGCAAUCAGGAACUAAACCCCUAGAUUGAGUUUGGAUCCCAUAAGUAGAAUGGGUCCCAUCAAUAUUGUCCUCAGGUAGGGCAUAGGAGUUUUUAUGAGCUUCAGAUCAUCGAGGAGACGUGAUCUAAAAAGUGAACAAAUAGGAAUUAGAGGAAAAUUUAGGACCAUAGACUCUACAACUAGAAAAUAGAACACAAGAAAGAGAAAUAUUUCUAAAUGCCUUAUAGCCUCUCCCUUAUGAGAGUGGAAUGCUUCACACCCUUAAAAAAGACUCUACUUGACACAGCUUUGUGGACUCUCAAUUGAUCAUGAACCUAGGGCUCUAAUACCAAUAUAACAUGACCCAAACCAGAGCCUAGUCAUGUCGGGUGCCUCAAGUCCAACCUGGAUCGGAGACUACCCCCAAAUACCAACCAUAACCCAAUAACCUCAAUCAAAUAUCCAAUCGGUGCCAACCCUAAUGCCAAUACCAAUACCAAGACUAACACCAAUACUAAUAACCCCGAUGCCCAUAGUAGUCCCUCAAAGCCUCUAACCAAAAACAAAGAACAUCCGAUCAAGACAUGCCCCUGACCAUAGCCAAAACCAAAGCCCAAGAAACAAAGAUAAAUGAAAAAGGUCCAUAGCAUGAAAUAGAGUCUUCCAAAGUAUGGAAGCUCACUAGUUCAGUCUGAUAUAAAGUUGUCCCUAAAUCUAAGUCACUAAGCAGGAGGAGUAAUAUGGCCAGUAGCUACAUCGUGUGGGGAUACAACACCCGAAGACGGUUAGCAGAGUGAACACUAGCAUGUACUCAGGAAUAAGGAUAAAAUAAUGUCAUUAUUCUAAACCAAAGUAAAUCACCAUAUGCAAUUACAUACAUACACACAUAUAUUCUAUGCAGGGAAAGGAAUUGGGUUUAACAUGCUUUUAAAACCUUAACUGGGUCAUGUAGCUUGGCCAUCCUAAAACACACGAGCUAUAUAGGUCCAGUGGUACCCCCUGAAUGGGACCCAGUACGUGUAACCGCACGAAUCAGAGAUAUCAUAGGGGUCUUGAAUUCCCAUGUACCCUUCGCCCUCCAUGAUACAUAUAUACAAGUAUAGACUUGGGAGAUUUCUGUGUACCCCACAAGCAUAAAGUCACCAAGAACAACCCUCAUGUCGGCAAACAUGAGUCUCCAGUGUCUUUCCAUCGGACUCACACCUUAACGACUAGCUAUCACAAACCAUUUAUUUCCCAAUUAAAAUAUUUAGCAUAUGACCAACUAUUUACCAAGGAGUCUUUCAAUUAGGCAUUUACCGUUGCUAUCGUCAUACCAACAUUAGAGCUUGCAAGUCUAUCUAUUUAUGUCAUACCAAAGCCAUUAAACCAAUUUGACUUCAAAGUUUCCAAUUAAACCAAUACCAUGGCCACCAAGGCCUUUCCAAUCCAUUUAAAACCAACCAAACAAAUUUAAGUUUCAUUUCCAUAUUAUGCAAUGAAAAGUUUUCAAGAAUAGUUAAACUACGUGACAAAAUCAUUUUCAUUGGCAUUUUAAAGACAUGUAGUUUCCAAAAGCAAAACCAAGUAUCAAUUGACUAUUCCCAUGCAACCACAUGUUCAAAUCAUAAUUAUAACAUGAAAAACUAUAAGUAAAACAUGGAAAGCAGUAUCCAACCAAGAACAACUAAAACUCUCAACAUCUAUUUGAAAACAAAAUCAUACCACAAUAAUACCAUGAAACCCAUUCAUUAAAGCAUGUUUUUAGUUGGACUAACAAUGAGGGAGGAGUAACAUGCCUUAGUCAUGAAGAUUUAUGCAGAGAUUUUGAUCCUUAAGCCUUUAGAUGACUACUUUGAAGAAACCUUAGCCCAAUCUUCUUGAGAGGUUUUUAGAGAGUGUUUUGAUUUUCUAUGGUGUAGAAUGAGGCACCAAAUAGUGUUAUAAGACGGGGGGAUCUUUAGGGCUUGGGGUAGGAAAUAUCCAAAAUACCCUUAUCUUAAAAGCUGCAAAAAGAACACAGGUUGGUAUGAUUGGACCCUACAACUCGUCAACACAUCUUACGAGUGGUACCCUCAAGUCGUCACUUGAUUAGAAAGGGACACCAUAUUCUGUCCAUCAUACGACUCCCUUGAUCAACUUGUAUAUUCACCAUACAAGUAGUAUCAUUAAGUCAUACCUUAGGAAGAACAUCAAAGGCUAGACACUGGACAAUAUACGAUUGGACUGAACCCUCUCGUCAUAUCAAUAUAUGACUCAUCACCACCAACCUGUAACCACAACAGAAACCCAACCACCAAGCACUGGACACCUUACGACUUGGGUUACCUAACCCAUACCCAUACCAUACGACUAGUAUAGUGAGUCGUAUGAUAAUCAGAAAGCUCAAGACUCGAGAAAUUCAAAGGCAAAAACCUAGGGUGUUUUACCUCAAGACCAAAAAUCGAUCUAUAAAACUUCAACUCACGACUUUACUUCUCAUGAAUGAUUCGAAAAUCAACUAAAACCAAGAAAUAUAGAAUCAACACAUCAAAACAAAGCCAACGAUACUCAUAUAACCUACUUUUGAUUCGGGGUCAAAAUGAACCCCCAAAAUAGAUUUUUGAAAAAGAGGGGCAAAAUCAUAAAUUUACUUCAAAAUGUGUUCCCCAUAAUUUUAGGAAUUUACAGUUGAAAACCCAAGUCAAAUCGAGUUAAAAAUAAGUUCUAAAUUGAAGAAAAACUAUUUUUAGACUUUACCAGUUAAAACCAUUGAAAUUUAUUUUAAAAUAAAGAAUCGAGGUUGUUUUGCUGAUGAAAUCGAGGAAAAAUAAGUAAUUAUAGGAUUAGGAGCAUUAUUCAAGUGAAAAAGUGUGAAAUUGGGGUUUAAAAUCAAGCCCUAAGGUUUUUGGGAUUUUGAGUAAUAAAUCAAAACAACUAAGGAAAAGAUGAAUUCUUACCUUAAAUCCGUAAGAGAUUUGAGAAAUGAAUGUUAAUAUAGCUUCUCAAGCACCCACAAGCUUCACUUUUAAGCCCUCACACUAUUUUAGGAUUUAACUCUCAAAAGGCAAGAUGGAAAUGGCCUAAUUUACGACCUAAGGUGUGCAAUCGCACACCCUGAUUUCAGAAGAAGGUAUGACGAUCGCCACACCUUUAGUACAAUUGCAUUACCUUUUUUGCACAAGGUGUUAUCUUCACCCUAGGAGAUGCGAACGCAGAGGCACCAGAUGAUAACAGAAACUUUGGAAGCUUUCCAAGUUUAUGCCAAGGCCUCGGGAUUUAUUCGGAACCUGAUUUACAUAAACGAACUAUGUAACCACACUAAAUUUGACACUUCAGACUCAAUGGCGAUAUCAAAUUUUAAAAAAGACAUAAUUUUCCCAAAGUUUAUUCCCAAAAUCCAAAAUCAAAAUUUUUUAAAUCGAGGCUCGAAAUAAGAUUUAAAAGUCAUAAAACCAGGCUAAACAUUUUACCACCCUAAAAUUGAUAUCCCAGAUCUGCUGGCGCAGUCCGUUCAACCAUCCGUUGCACAGAUCAAAUGAUAACGAUAUAAGUUCAUAAUAAUGCUCUUAAAGUAAUCAAAAACCACAAUAUUACAUAAAUGGUACCAAAAUAAAUCGAGGACCAUGCCAAUCACACCCAUAUCCCAGAAAUACCGAAAUACAACUUUGUGGAUGGGUAAAACAGUCAAACCAUAUAGAAAUACAUAAUUCACAUAUUUCGUAAAAAUUUUAGGUCGUUACGUCAUCCACUACUAAAAAAAUUAUUCGUCCUCAAACUAAGGCAAAGAAACACCUGAAUCAAUGAAGAGCUGGGGAUAAGAACUAUGCAUAUCUGAAUGGACCUCCCAAGCAUCCUCAUCUACAGGUCAAUGUCGACAUUGAACAUUAACUACAAGGAUAAUUCUAGAACGCAGUCGUCUAACAUACCUAGCCAAAAUUGAGACUGGCUCCUCAACGAAAGACAACCGCUCCUCUAACUGAACCAACUCCCAACAAAUGACAUGAAACCUAUCAGGAAUAUUAUAGUGAAACGUAGAAACAUAAAAAAUUGGAUGAAUAACUGAUAAGACAAAGAGCAAAGUAACUUAUAAUCCGUAUCACCCACAGUCCGAAAAAUCUCAAAUGGACUAAUAUACCUGGGGCUGAUCUUACUCCUCUUACCAAACCUUAUUACAUCCUUUAUGGGUGAAACUCAAAUGAAAACACGAUCACCAACACCAAAUGUCAAGGCUAGAAGCCUAUAGUUUGUAUAACACUUCUGCCUACUUUGAGCCGCACGAAGUCUAUCCUGAAUGACACAAACUCUAUUCAAAGACUCAUGAAGUAAUUCCGUACCUCGAGGUCUAACCUCAAAAAAGUCAACCCGAGUACCUAUAAUAACAGGUACCAUUCCAGUAUGGAUCCUUUUGAGGCUUUAGCGGAGUAUACCUAUAAUAACAGCUACCAUACAAUGCCUCAAAAGGAUCCAUACUGGAAUGGUACCUGUUAUUAUAAGUAAACUCCGCUAAAGCCAAAUGUUUCUCCCAUUAGCCCCAAAAAUCCAUCAAACACUCACGGAGCAUAUCUUCUAAAACUUGGAUGGUCCGCUCCAACUGACUAUCAGUCUGGGGUGAAAUAUUGUGCUAAGAUCAACCCGAGCACCGAACUCAUCCUAAAAAGUCUUCCAAAAGAGAGUAGUAAAUACAGACGCCAUCUAAAAUGAUAGACACCAGCACACUAUGAAGACGCACAGUCUCGUGAAUAUAGAUAUAGAUAACUUCUCAACACUAAGAAAAACUUGUACUGGAAUAAAAUGAGUAGGUUUGGUCAAUCGAUCCAAGAUGAACCAAACACUAUUCAAACUAUAACAAGUGUGAGGUAAUUUAGUCCCCAAGUCAAUAGUAAGUCAUUCCCAUUUCCACUUGGGAAUAGGUAACCUCUGAAACAAUCCACCAGGUCUAAAAUGCUAGGCCUUCACUCGCUGACAAUAAGGCAAUGAGCUAUAAAAUUUGCUAUAUCCUUCUUUGUACCACCCCACCAGUAAUGAUGCCUCAAAUCAUAAUACAUUUUAGCCACUCCCGGAGAGAUAGAAUAUCUAGAAUAAUGGGCCUCCUCCAAAAUUAAUAUAAUUGAGUCACCUAUUCUCGGCACAAAAACUUGGCCCCUAAUCCUCAAAACACCAUCUGAAUUAAGUGAGGCUUCCUUAUCCUGACCACUUAACACCUUAUCUUGAAUUGAUCUUACCCCAUGUCAUUAAACUAAUGAGAUUGAAUCUAUUUCAUCAAAGAAUACCUAGCCUCAACAAAUACAAAAACACACCCAAGUGCCGAAAUAUCAAACCUAACCAUCUAGUUAGCUAAAGAUGGAAUCUCUAGGGCUAAAGGCCUCUCCUAGGUCAAAAGAUGAGCCAAGUUACCUAUGCUAGUCAACUUUCAGCAUAAGGCAUCUACAACUAUAUUAGCCUUGCCCGGAUGAUAGAGAAUAGUUAAGUUAUAAUCCUUAAGCCACUCAAGCCAAUGACGUUGCCUCAUACUAAGAUCUCAUUGGGUGAAGAAGUACUAAAGGCUAUGAUGAACCGAGAAAAUCACACAACGGACUCUAUACAAGCAGUGCCUUAACAACUUCAAAGCAAACACAAUCUUACACAACUCCAAAUCAUGGGUAGGAUAAUUUCUCUCAUGUGGCUUCAAAUAACAAGAAGUACAAGCAAUAUCCAUACCCUCCUGCAUCAACAGAACACCUAACCCAACACCCGAAGUAUUAAAAAAGAUGGUGAAACCCACGCCUUUUUAGGGAAAAGUCAAGAUAGGGGUUAAGGCUAACAAAUCCUUGAGCUUUUGAAAGCUCUCCUUACGUACAGCAAACCACUAAAAAGAAAUCUUCAUCCAAGUCAACUUGGUUAGCUGAGCUGCAAUGGAUUAUAACCCCUUAACAAAAUGCCAAUAAUAACCUGCCAAAACCAUAAAACUCCAAAUCUCAGUGGGCAAAGUAGGUCUAGCCCAAUCAUAAAUUGUCACAACCUUAGAUGGAUCAACCAUAAUACCCCACUUAUUCACCAUAUGACCCAAGAAAUAAAUAGACUCCAACCAAAACUCAUACUUGGAGAACUUGGCAUACAACUUCUCAUCCCUCAAUCUCUAAAGCAUAAUCCACAAAUAAUUCUUAUGCUCAUCUCACUCUUGUAAUAGACCCAGAUAUAUACAAUAACAAAGGAGUCGAGAUACUAUUGAAACACCUGAUUCAUCAAAUCCAUGAACAUAAUAGGGGAAUUGGUCAACCCAAAAGACAUGACUAAGAACUCAUAGUGAUCAUAUCAAGUUUGAAAAGUUGUCUUUGAAAUAUCCAAAGCUCUAAUCCUCAACAAGUGAUAACUGGAUCUUAAAUUAAUCUUCAAAAACACUACAGCACCCUAAAGUUGAUCAAAUAAAUCAUCAAUAUGAGAAAGAGAAUAUUUAUUCUUAACUGCCACCUUAUUCAAUUGUCGAUAAUCAUUACAUAUACCAUAGACACAUCCUUGUUCUUCACAAUAAGACAGGCACACCCCAAGGUUAUACACUAGGUCAAAUAAAUCCCUUAUCUAACAUCUUCUAUAACUGAUCCUUCAAUUUCUUUAACUUAGUUGUGACCAUCCUAUAAGAAGGAAUAGAAAUGGGCUUAGUUCCUAACUCAACAUCAAAAGCAAAAUCAAUAUCAUGAUCCAGAGGCAUACCAAACAAAUCCAUAGGGAACACAUCUACAAAGAAGUAAAACAACACUAGUAUCACAAAUAUGAGCCGAAUAAGAUAAACAUCCCCUAUCAACUAAUCUAUGAGCCUAAUUAUAAGAUAUUCUCCUCUUAGGACCUUAAUGAAGCGUAUCCUUCCAAGCUAUCCUUGGCACACUCGACGAACCAAAAGUCACGAUCUUAGAAAAAUGAUCUAGGGCAGCAUGAUAAGGAGCCGAUCAGUCUAUAACCAAAAUAACAUCAAAAUUAACCAUAUCUAACAUAAGAAAUUUACCCAAAUUUCAUGACCAAAAAAAGGUCACAACACAAGAUAGGUACACCCAAUCCACCAUUAAAGAAUCUCUUAUAGAGGUAGAUACAUGAAUAGGUAUGGAAAGAGGCUCACUAACAAAAUCAAAACUCAAAGAAAAAUAUAUAGAGACAUAGGAAAAAAUUAAUCUGAGGUCAAAUAACACAGAUGCAGAUCUAAAAUAAAUGGGGAUGAUACAUGUGAUCGCAACAUCUAAAACCUCUGCCUUAGGUCUGGCUGGUAGAGCAUAAUAUUAACCAUGACCACCAAUCGAUUGAAUAGCCCCAUGACCACCACACGGGCUCUGCUAUCUCUAUCUCUCAUACCUUAAGUAAGAACCCUACCUCUCACAACUAAAAUUAGAGUAGUUUGAAUUACAUAUUAGAGGCAGUCCUUGGUCAUAUGGAAAAACUCAUCACCCACAAAGCAACUUCUAAACUUAUCUGGAUAGAGUACCCUCUUGGCGUCUUCUUGAGAUGCUUGAAGGGUAGGUCCAUGUAUCUUUGCCUGAAUCUCAAUACUCUGAAAAGACACCCCAAAGACUACUAUCUAUGUCGUGGCUCACUAAAGAGUAAGAGGAGUAUUAAUCUCAUAUCAUAACUCGACCCAGGCCUAGUCGUGAUGGGUAUCUCAAAUCCACUGAGGAUCGGAGACCAUCCCUAUGUCCAGUACAAUCCAAAUAGAUUCCAAAUAAUAACAAGUGGAAGACAACCAUAAAAUAAAGAUAAAAUAAUCAAAAACUCAAGAGUAAGCUCUAAGAGUCAAUAAUACCAUCCAACCCAUACAUAUGUUCAUAAAAAUCUCUAAUCCAAUUCGAAUAUCAAAAUAGGUCGGGACAUGCCCCCGGAUAUAAUAACAAUAAUAACAAUGAUAAUGUUAAUGUGAACUCUUCAAGUCUAAAGUAUCAAAAAAGCCAACGGAAUGACUAAAAUUUUCAUAAGAUGAAAGCUUACCACUUUCCCGUAGACUAACCGACUAACUGAAUUACGUAAUAUUGCACAGGGGUAAAGAAAAUAUCUUUGAACCCUACACUAUGAAACAAUAUGGCAACCUAGGAUGAUUAGCGAGGCAAGCGCUAACAUGUAACUCAACAUAGGUAUAAAAUAAUGUCAUUUUAAAAAUCAAGUACAAACUUAGUGUACAUGUUCACAUACAUGCAUACAUAUAUAUAAGAUGUUAGGAUAGGGAAUAAGGUUUAGUAUGAGAUUUAGAAUAAUUAAUCUGAACUGUGUAACUCUAAUCGUCCUAAAAAUACCCAGGGGCUAUAUGGGUCUGGCUCUCCUACUGAAAGGGCCCUAGUGCAUAUUAGUCGCAUGAACCAGAGAAGUCCAAGGAAAGGCCAGGGAAUCCAUACCCUAAGCCAAUCCAAGAUACAUAUAUAUAUAUAUAUAUAUAUAUAUAUAUAUCAAGUGUUAACUAUGCACAUAGUCAUGAAGACCCCUAUGCCGCCAAAUAUGAUUUCUAGUGUUGUUCCCCUUGAUACCUGCACUGUAAGGCCCCAAAAAGUUCCCUCAUAGUUUGAGCCAUAGGAUAUGUUGAGUGAGGCAUGAUUCCAGUCCUAAAAGAUUGAGAAGUUGCUUCCUAAGUGAGUAACAUGUUAACCAUAUAGAAUUUACCUAAUUUCUACUUUUUCUACGUGGGAAAUCUAAUAAGCUUUCCAUCAAUAUAAGAUUUGCCCAAAUCCUACACUCGGGUAAGAACUUAUGGCUAAUUUAAGCCUUAGUCAUAAAACUGCAUCAUUUAACUACCUGGCGCAUCGCGGAGAGGGUUGAUUUGGCAAUUAUGAAUUUCCAGUGGAACCCCGUGAUAGUGGCACGUCGCAAAGGAGUCUCAGGUCCCAACCAGUGGGAAAACAUGAUGGCUCUGCAUCACGGAGGCCGCCAAUUUCCUAAUUGUCAAAUUCCAGUAAGCCACAGCGAUAAGUGCAUCGCGGAGGCCAAUGAAAUUGGGUUCUAGUUCAAUUUUUCCAGUUUCGUACAGAUGUUUAAAAGGGCACUUUGGACCUUUACCAACACUAUAAAAUUGUGGUAAUACUAAAUCAAAGCCAUUUACAAGCAUCUUAUGGGGGUUUUCUCAAGUUUUCCCUCACAUAAACCAUAAGUAUCCAAAACCUCUUCCAAUAAUCUUAAGAAUCCACCAUGGAUUUCCAAAAUUAAGUCAAGAUUCAAGGUUCCCAAGUCAAAGACCUCAAGAACCCUUAUUCUAGAGCAUGAAUAGAGUUCCAAAAGUGAGAGUUCAUUAAAAGCUUCUAAUUUAAGGUAUGUGGGGUUUUUGAACAAGGGUAACCCUUUCACCCUUGUACCCAAAAGGCUAUUUACAUCAUGAAAUUCUUGAAAUAUAUGAGGUUUUUACAUGAAUUUGAAUUGGGUUUUUCACCAUUAUUAUUGAAUGCAUUAUAUUAAUAUUUCCCAUGAAUUAAGAGUCAAAUGGCAUGAUUUCUACAUAUUUUCUUAAGUAUUUACAGCUGGGUAUAAACCCCAUAAUUUUACUCCUUGAUAAGCGAAUAUUUGCAUUGUUGAGAUAUUGAAGCAUAUCGCUAUACUGAAAUUUUGAGGUAAUUUGCUGAAAUUCUCAGAUUUUCACAUGAUUUAUAUAUCUAUAUGCUAUAUAGUAUGCUUUUGAUAAGCUUUAACUUAAGAUUUAAUUAUGGGUUAGUAAGCCCUAUUUGAGAUUUGUAAAAUUGUGAACUCUUAUGCUAUGAGCACCCAUGUUUUGAGUAUUUUGAGAUGAUUGAGAAAUGAAUUGACCUAAUGGUCCUUGAGCUUUGAAAUCCACUUUACUCUGAGAUUAUCGAUUUGAUUAUUGGGUUCGUGGUGAACCAUGUGACUAUUUUAAAAGUGGAUUUUUUUAUGAGAUGAGCGCAGAUAAUCUAAAGGGAGUAGUAUUUAGCAUCGAGUGGGUAAGUUACAACAGUUUCUUACCCCAAAAAUACAUGCCACCAUAGGUUAGGACUGAGGUUGAGUUUAUGAUGAUUAUGACUAGGCCCGAGGCUGAGGUUCGUUUAGUGAUCACUAGACCUAGGUUACACUCCCUGGCAAGAGUAUGAUGCUCCUCCCCAACGUGGGGCCUCUUCCUUAGGAGGGCAAAACGUUGGACUCCGCGUAGCUCGCAUGGUUUAUGUCGGUUACGAGAACCUCCCUUGACAUUUAGACUUCGAGAUCAAAUACUUAUUUUCCUUCCCUAUAAGCUAUUUUCCUAAAUGGUUGAAUUGCAGAGAUGUUUCCCCAACUAAAGUAUUUUCUUGAUGUGAGCUAUUUCCUAAAGAAAAGCAUCUUCCCCGUGUUAUAGUACUUUUUAUAAAGCCUUGAGAUAAGUUGUUUUCAUAAACUAGAAUGCCUUUCCAUUAGAGAUGGAGUGAUUUCCCUAAAGCUUGAGAUGAGAUAUUUUCCUAAAGUGAAUGAAAUGCCUUCAAGUAUGUUUUCAAGUUAUAUGAUUCCGAAUUCCAAGUAUAUGAGUUCUACAUAGUUAUGAACUGUUGAACAUUGAAGAAGUUUUACUCUCCAUGAGACUUAUGCAUGAUUUGAAAGUAUUGUUUAAAGUCCCUUAGCCUUUGGGUAUUGACAACAAGAGAAGAUUUUGAAUUUUGAGAUUAAAUAAUGAUGACUCACGAGAUUUGUGUUACAUGCUUCAUUCUACAUGACUUAUAAGCUUUAUUUUUUAUACUUGUUCAAUCCAUGUGAGUCGUCUCAUAAUGCAUACAUGAUUUGAUUAAAUAAGACUAUUACUAUUUUAUUCAUAUGCAUUCACCCCCGCAUACUCAGUACAUUCCAAUUACUGAUCCACAUAUAUGUCUAUGUGCUUUAUUAUAUCAUAAUGUAGGUUCAGGUGCUCAGUCCCAGUCUCGCCCAUGAUUCUUUGAGUACCUUGCCUACAUUUUCUAGAGUGGUGAGUCCUCAUGAUUCGAGGACCGAUCUUCAAAUAUUUAUCGUACUUGAGAGACUAUGUUUAUCUUCAGUUCAUUUCAAGUUAGUUAGGGACCUGUCCCAAUGGCUCUCUAGAUUUUGAUUUGUAGAGGCUUGUCAGACUAGUGUCAAACUUAUAAUGUGUCAAGGGUUCAAUAUUGUGGUUUUGUUGAGAUUUCUCUAUAUUAUGGUCUUAUGGACCGAGUAUCUUUUCCAUAUCUCCUUUUAUAUGAUAUGACUAUGCUAGUAUUGAGUCCAUUCUUAUCUUGAAUUGAGUGUCAUUGGUGGAAACCGGAUCUAAGGGUUAGCUUGGGGCUACUCCUAGCCUUAGGCACCGUGUGACAUCCCGGGAGAUGAUUUUGGGUUGUUACAUGCACCUUCCACGAUGAGCUACACAUCCCCCAUCAAGCCUAAUUAAAAUAUUUGUACUUAACCCAUCCAUUAACCAAUAACCAUUUAUUAAGGCAUUCACUAUUGGUAUCAUCACACCAAUAUGCUUGCAAGCUUAUAAAAUUAUGUCAUUCCAAUUAUCCAUCAACUAUGGGGAAUCCACGACCUCCAAGCUCUAAUUUAAAACCAAUUCAUGGCCAUUAAGGCCUUUUAAAACCAUUUAUGUUCCAUUGACCUUUUAUGCAAUGCAGUAGUUUUAAAGAUGGUUAAUUUAUGUAUAUGACCAUGUUUCAAAGCCAAUUUCAUAAAGGUGGGAUGAGGUUAUUAUCAAUUCCAUUACCAAAAUUCAUAAGUUUAGGAGAAUCCAUGACCCCAUUCCAUUAUUCAUAAAUUUGGGGGAAUCCAUGACCCCCAUUCCAUUAUUCAUACCCAUGGACCCAAUGAGUUCCAAAAUCCAUCAAUAAAGCAUAAACAAAUGCAUGUAAGCCAUAGAAAUACCAUUUAUACGAUGACAAUCAAAAACCCUUAACCCAAGUUCCAAAACCAACCAUUAAAACUACAUGAUUCUCAAGCCAUUGAAUGUCAUGAUAAAAUACAAGUUUCGGAAAGAUAUACAUGCCUGAAAAUGUCAAGUAUUUGGAGAAGAAACCACACUUUGAGCUCUAGAUGACCAAUCCCUAGAAACCCUAGCCUUGAUUUUAAUUAGGGAAUUUGAGAGAAAAUAGUUAUUCAUGAUUAUUUUAAUUGGUAGGAAAUAGGGCUAAGGGAAGGUUUUAAGUCAUGGGAAUAAUGUAAAGAAAAGGAAAAAACUGAAUUACCCUUAAUGAGAAACAUGUAGGAAAAUAACACUCAAUCGCUAUCGGUCAAAUAAUGACUCAUGGUUAUUAGUCACAAGUGGUCACCAUGACACGUAUUCUGGGCAGUGACAUAGGGCAUACACAUUGAUAACACUACGAGUUGUAUCCUAUAACUCAUACUCUGAUAUCAUGACUCGUGACGCCAAGUAGUAGUCUAGGCAGACUCUUGGGCACCCUUCAAAAAUUUAUCCACGAGUCCCACCCUACGACUCAUGGCCAAAGCUUAUGACACAUAGGGUCUUAGUUAAACUCAAUAUAGAAAAAAUAGACCCUCUCACAUUAGACCACGAUUGGAACUACAGGAAUCGUAAGGAGUCUUUAUGACUUAUUAUGUGAGUCAUACCCUAAAGAGUAAGCACGAUUAUUGAGAAAUAUUUUAGAGCCCAAACCCUGGGGUAUUACAGCUUAGCUGGCAGAGAACCUACCCGAGGAGGCAACACAGAUGAAGGUUGAACUCCUAAUUUCGAAACACCAUACUCAAAUGUUUGCGCUAAAUGAUUAAUAAUACAUGAGGUUUAAAGAGUACCCAAAAUAAAAGUAGGUGAAAUUAGAGAGCCCACACUUGUGACUGGAGGAACACCAUAACCAUACUCUAGAACAGGUGGAGGUAAAACACUCAUAACUGAGGGAAUACCAAAUAAACUCAAAGGAGCACCCUUCAAACGGGUGAACAGACGAAUCAGCAAUCCCUCUAAGACUGAGGUAGAAGAACUUAAAGGAACUGGAGUGAAACCCACAGCUCUAACAUGCUCAACACUAGGAUCAAUAUAGGGUUCCUUAGAACUUAUCCUCGAUUGGGUGGAUCUAUGGGCCCAUCCAUUCCUUUCAGUUCAUCCAUAACUCGAGGUUCACCCUCUAGGUGAAGGCUCCAUAUCUUUGAUCAAGCUAGACCUAGUCGACACCAUCUGUGUAGAAAGAUGGAACAUAAAUCAGAAUUCAAGGUAAACAACAAGAUCGCACAAUAAGGAAUAAAUAAGGAAAGUUUCCUAAAGAUAUUUUAUAGCCUCUCAAAGAUAGUUACGGGCGUCUACGUACCAAUCUGUGAGACUCUAUUAGACAUCUCAAUCUUACAACAUUGAGACUAAUAACCUAGAUACUCUUAUACCAACUUGUCAUGACCCAAAAUCAAGGGUCAUGAUGGCACUCGUUGCGGCGUACCUUGACGAGUAAGUCUAUCACCCAAACUAAUACGUAGUAUUUGAUGCUAUAUGAUGCUUGGUGAGUGGAUAAUGAUGAUAUAUGGAUGAUAAAAAUGCUUUAAAUCAAGUGAAAACAACACCAAAAGUCUUGGAAAUAAUGGACAAACACAUGGAACAGGAUUUGACCAAAAAUGGAUGUUUUAGAGUCAUUGGCGUGCCACGGACCACGGACCUUAGACACCGUGUUGGGGGCAUCCUAAAAGACGAACUAUAAUUUUUCACCAUGAUAUUGGCGUUCCACAGACCCUAGGCACAGCGAUAAGGUCCGUGGAAUAUUGGUAAGUUCAAAUCGGCAGCUAGUGUCCUCGUAUAAAUAGGACCCUUAAAUAUUGUUACACACCUUAGACGACCUUAAAACUUGGAGGGAGGCUGGAUAACACUUAAGUUAUGAUUUUUAUUCCAUUAAUUUGGUUUUUUAAGUAUUUUAACAUGUAUUCUAUCAUUGAAAUUAUGGUUAUGUCCAUGAGAGGCUAAACACUCUUUUUCGGGGCUAAGGCCAAGAACAUGAUUACUCUUGUUAUGAAUUGAUUUAGUUUUGAUCAUGUAUCAUAUUUGGUGUUUUUAUUUAUGCUUUUUAAUACUGUUUUAAGGAUUAUGUACCCUUAGAAUACAUCCAUUAUCAUCUUGUGAGCUCGAAAGAAGGAACAAGAGAACGGAACGUGGGGUAAAUAGAAUAGGAUUAUAACCUUCUACAGAAUAAAGCUAUAAUUUGCAUUUAGGAUAGAAAUAUACCUACGUGCCCUAUUUGGUUCACUUAUGGGAUGAAAUAUAAAUACAUUUAACUUAGUUCUCAUAUCCCCGGUCAACGAUGCAGUUGUAGGUCUAAGUUAGAUAGGUGAUUAGAGGCUCGAAAGACCAUAAUCAUAAUAUCAACCCCGUGAAUCAACAACUAAUAUAACUAACCUAAACAAUGAAGUUUAAUAGCAUAGUAUGAUUGUUCGUAGAUUCUUAACCCUGGAUUUCUCCUCAUUGAUUGUCUAAGACCUUUACUUUAUCGUAUUGUUAAGUUUUUUUUAUUCUCAACCUCCAACUCUCUUAGUUACAUUCGGACAAAUGAAAUCGCAAUAGUUAAAUUUGAAUUGAUAGUUGUUAAUAAAAGUCUUUGUAAGAUUGAUACUUGGUUUGUAAAAGACCACUUUACUACUUGAUGGAACCACGUACACUUGCGUGUGCGCUUGGGCGCAAUAAGUUUUUGGCGCUAUUGGCCGGGACUUGUAAAUAGAAAACUAUCUUAUUUUUAGUUUAGAUAUAUUGAGUUGUACAUAGUUUAGUAUUUUUUUUCUUUUUAUGUUCUUUUAUUUUUCUAUCACACUUUGUGAUGUGUCAGCCUGGGAUAGAUAGUUUGUGAGUGAUGAUGAUUCUUGUUAUUUUUGUGGAGAACCCCACCGAGAGGUUUUUUGUCCAACUUUUUAGGGAAGCGCGUGAUAGGGACCAUCACUAGAUGAGGUAGAUAUUAGCCAAUCUAUGGAGUAGACACAAGAAUUUCAGCAAUUCCACUGUCAUCUUUUUCUUGAGACUAACAUUGAGAGAGUGAAUCAGAGUGAGUGUGUUGUGGAUGGUGUAACUUUGGAUGUGGGAAUGGUUGGUUCUUAUUCAAAGAACUUUUCUAUAUUAUUUUUAAAGGAUGACAUUUCUUUGGAGUCAUCUGAAAUAGUGGAAGAGUGUAAGAUGAGGAAAAAAAUAUUAUAUUCUUAAAUUUGCACCAGACAAGCAACACAAAAAUAUGCCUCACUUUAAGGACUAGUGGUUUACCAUGAACCAUCUAUUACUCGAUUCCUUUAUAUUUGUACCACUGCCUUAUGAGUGAAGCAAAAAGAUGGAUGUGAGGUUGGAGGUGAAAUUCAUAUCCUAAAGGUGGAGGAAAAAGUUUAUGUGGGUCGUGUCGUGACACUAAAUUAGGCGUUGCUUGGGAGGUAACCUAAGUUAAGGUAGGUAUUUAUUUUUUAGUAUUUUUAGUGUUUACUUCAGUAGUUUUUAUUUUGUUGAGUCACGGGUUGAUGGGAAGUUUGAGUGCCGAAAACCUGAGCUAAAGAGCAUGGCGAAGACUGUGUUGGGUCCCCAGACCCUCGUGAUGUAUGAAGAUGCUACUAGCUAGGCCUGGAGGCCUCAGGGAGUAUUUUUAUCCCAACUUUUAAUUAUACUUUUGGGACAAAGUAGAUUUUUAAGUGUGGGGUAGGGAAAUUCCAUUGUUUCGAGUGAAGUGAUGUGGUAGUUCUUGAGUCUUAGUUGUUUUUCUAGUUUUUGGUUAAAUUUGAAAAAAUUACAAAAAGAUUUUAUCUUCUUAGUUUUUAUUUUAUUUUGGCCAGUCUAGUAGAUGCAUACUUCACCCACCCGGUAAUUGUUCUUUUUGGUUCUUUUCCAUGGGAACACCCCUUAAACUCCGUAUCCUUUUUCUUUUUAGGAGUAAUUUUAAUAUUUUUGUGAUUAGGUAAGUGGGAUUUUCUUAUUGGUGUUAUGUAUGAUUGCAUGAUACAAGUGGGCUUUGUAUGUAAUAGCAUGUUGUUAUGAUGAAUGAAAGCUUUUAAGACUCUUAAACUCAUGAUUAUGACUCUUGUACUUGUGUUCUUAAUGUUGAAUAAGUGAUAUUAUUUAGUUGAGUGUCUACAAUGAUCUCACUUGAGUUGAGCAUGUGCCAUGUGUGUAAGGUUGUUGUAUAUUCCUUGUUGCAUUUGAUGUUUAGAACUUGUCUGGUGUGUGUGCAAAGUGAAAUAAAAAGUAUGGGUUUAGGAGAUGAUAUAGGCAUUUCUGUAAUAGCCAUGUUUCAUAGCCUCUUUUACCUACACUUAUGCAUAAUCCUAGUUAGCCCUGUUGACCUUUAGCUCAUUCUUUGGUAGUCUUGUAUGUAUCCCAAUUCCCUUUAUUUGUUGGACCUUAAUUUGAUUCAAAGUUCUUAAGCACUUUAGUUAAAAAUAAAUUGAUUUAAUAAGUUUCAAAUUUAAGUAGGGAAAAGGUGAAAGUGAAGACCAAAACAGAUAGCUAUUGAUGUUGAAAAUUGAUAUAUGUUAUGGUUGGGAGUUGUGUAAUAAUGAAUAAAGAUUGUUCAAAUUUAAUAAGGUGUACAUAAAUAAAACUCCCAUCCAUUAUUAGUGGAUUAGCAUAAUAAGAUGGGGCGAAACAAAAGAUAUGUGUAAAGGUAGAUGAGGCAGAAGUAUGGUUGUUAGAGGUGGAUUGAAGCCUAUCUUCGUAACUAUACCCUCGUAUAAAACAUGAAUGCAAUAGUCUACUCUUAACAUAAGACAUUAACUCUCUCCCAUCUAAGCAAUUUCUCAACACUACACUAUUCUUAUAAAGAGAGCUCAUGAAGGGUUAAAUCAGGAGAACCUGAAACAUGAAUGGAUACUGACUGAACUUGACACAUGACUGAAACUUGAGAAAUAAAAUAUCAACAACAUGGAUUUACCAAAAAGGUCUGAACUGAGUAUAUACAUGAUAUAGUCUGAAUUUAUCUGAUCAGUGGGGGCAUAGCAUAAGUCAUGGAAACUGAGUAUACUAGGGAGCAUGAUACGUGUAAAUGAGUCAUGAGCUGUACGACCUGAGUCUGGAAUUUCUGAGUUCAUGGAACAUGAUUUGUAACACUGAGUGAUCUAGAACUGAACUUCCUAUACUGGGAACUGAAAACACACAUAAUUCUAUGGAAUACGUGUGAACAUAAGUUGUAUUCAUGGAAUUUGAGACAUGAAGCAUGCAUAGGCACUAUGCUGACUAAAGUACAAAGCUUUACGCAGCGAUAAGGAUGGUUCGAGAAUCGCCUUCCCUAACUAUUUUUCUGUACAUACUGGCACUACUACUAGAAUCGGAGAGCCUGACUUGGUUACUUGAUCUAUCAUCUCUCCCUUAGCUUUAAGCUAUUAUCAUAAGUCUGUGAAUACUAAACAAAUCUCUGAACUGCACUGAAAUCAUCAUCACAUACUUACACUCUGAUCAACACAUGCUCGCCUUACUAAAUACAUUAUUUCCUCUGUUUCCUCACAUACUACUAAUAUCAAAUUCACACCUUCAUGCUUAAUUUCAAGUAAAUAAACUUAAAUUUCAAACUCACACUGUUCAAGCUUACUGAUUAAUUAUAGCACAACUAUCCUUAUGAAUACAUAAUCUAUUUAAUCUGGAUAUCGUAUCCCAACUUGUCUACUGCUAAACUCAUGGGUUCAUGCUUCUAACUCUGGGUCAUAUGUUAUUAUAGGAUUUUGAGAAGGGAUCUGAUGGCAUAUUUAAAUCUGGGUUCGAGAACGAGUCCUCAUAAUCAUGAAUGAGAUCCUUACAACUUUGGAACAUAACUUAACUGAUGAGAUACUGUCUGAGAAAGUCCUAUCUUUAGGACUUGAGCUUCAUUGUUUCUAUUACCUUGAAAGUAAGGUGGAAUUAACAUGAGUAAAGCAUGAUGAGAAUCUACAUGAGUUUCUUAGAGAACCUUACUAUAGCACGAUCUGAGACAUGAAAGAAGAGAAAUUGUUCCUAAAAUAUCUCAUAGUCUCCUGUACAUAAGUGUGGUGUACAACACGCAUGUCCAAGACUCUACUAUAUGCGGCUUUCAAACUUCCUAGGACUCUAUUAAAUCUUAGGCUCUGAUACCAAAUAUGUAACACCUCGAUUUUCUAAAUCGGAAUGCUACACGGUGCUCAUGACCCUGAAGGACCACAAGCUAAUCCAUUACUGAUAUCUAUACUUGUACACUACAUAAUAUAACAUAAAAAUAUGAAAACAUGUACUGAGUGGCCAUAAAGUUCAAAUCUAAAUAAACAUCUGAUAAGACAACGUCUAAAAAUGGUAUAACAAUACCAAAAUAGAUCUAAAAUAACUAUCUGACAUGCUAUAGUCUGGAAAGCCUCUAAACUGUCUGAAUAAGGAGUUGAUGGGACAUGUCCCUAACUAACUCUAUCUAGCAACUGAACUAAAAUAGUAAAUGAAGCAAUAAUCAUAUCGUCCUUGAAUGAGAAGGACUCACUGCAAACCCUGAACACUGGAAUGCUACUGUUAAUCCGGAGCUCGUGCUUCUGAACCUAUGGUGUAACAUAAGAGAAAGUACCAUAGCGCAAAUACAUCAGUACGUCUGAAUGUAUUGAGUAUACGAGUGAGGUAGGCUAAAUGCAAAGGGUUAUAUGAUGAAUAAUACUGACUGAUAUAAACGUGAGAAUACAAACAUAUAUACGUAACUGUAACUGAACUCGUAGAGAUACUGACUACUGAGUCUGAAUACUGACAACAUGAGUGUACUGAUACUGAGAUACUGAAUAGAUGAACGACUAUUUCUGACAGUUCGAAUUAUGAAGAACUAUUCUGAUUGACUGUGUCUAACAGUCCUGAAACUGAAUACUAAGUAUGUAAACCACUAAUAAGUGAGGAACUAAUACAGUUUUACUAAAUACUGAGGGACUAGUACUAUGUUGCUGAUACAUGAAUAACUGUAUAUGACAGUUCUGAUUAUGAAAAACUGGUCUGGUUGACUAUGUCUGACAGUUCUAAAGCUGAAUAUUGAUAUCAUAAAUUCUGAUAACUGAUGUAACUGAUACAUGAGUUCUGAGAACUGAUAUAACUAAUAGCAUAAGUAACUGUAUCUGACAGUCCAUAAAUCUGAAGGAAACUAUCUGAGUUCCGUUUUAUUUUUGAGUUGAUUGUAUCUGACAGUCCUAAAAUCUGAAGAACUAUCUGAGUUCUUUUACUGAGACUAGGACUGAAACUGAGACUGUGGGAAGUAUUUGUCUAACCGACAUGCCCCAAUAAUGCAUAUAGUUAAGUUGGGGUCCAGUCUCUACCCCAACUAGAGGCGUAUCAAUACCGCGCCACUGGAAAGGAUAGCUGUGAGUGACCCUCAUUUGGCAGGUACUCAAAUGAGAACGGUGGAAACCCUAAACUGACAGGUUAAGCCACACCAUUAACCCUAAUGUGAUAGGUUAAGAUGUCUCAACCUACGCUGGCUACGUAGUUCUGGAACACAAUGAUGACUACUAAGAAUCACACCCAAAACUGGAUGGUGAGUUCCCAUCCUUGGGUUCACUCGGUGCUAACUUCUACUCCUAUCUAAAGGAUACUGAAUUGAAUAACUAAGCUAAACUGAAUAAAUGAACUGAAAUUAUUAGCUGAACUGAUACUGAUUAACUGGACUGAUACUAGUGGUAUUGUUUAGCGGAGCUAAACUAAGUUUACUGGUUUCCGAUGACUGACGGAAUGUACUGAGUUCUAAGGACUGGUUGAGAGUACUGAAGUUACUGAGAUUAACUGUGAAUACUGAGGUUGCUGAGGUUACUGAGCACUGAGAUUACUAAGAUUACUGGACUACUGAGAUUACUGAGAUUACUGAGUUUUCCUGAGUCACAUGACAGACUGAAUUCUAUAGAUCAUGGCUUGACUGAGAUUAUCGUGAUAACAUGACAUGGCUCUAGGCAUACAACUACAUUUUUUUAGUACAAGUACCCCCAGAACUCGAUGGAAGAAAACUGACACUACGUGACUUUCUUGAAUACAUGACCAUCAAUAAUAAUCCAUAAUACAUAAGUGAGGGAUUUCAUGAAGUACAUGGUCAUCAUAAUAUCUAACAUAGAUGGGAAUUCUUGAAAUCAAAUCAUAAAUCUCAUAUUCUAAUAUCAUGGGCAUUCCGACAAUAUAUACUAUUCAUAGCAAUCGCACGGAAACCAUUCAAGCAUAAGGGAAUGGCAAUUUCAUUAACACAUAUAUUGCACAACAAUGACAAGUGAGCUCUUUGAACAUAAUAGACUAGCGUGAAUUUAUCAUAUAGUUCACCCCUAAGUUAUAAUACAUGAUUUUUAUCAUUCUAGGCAUUUUAUCAAACACCUUAUAUGCAGAAUAUUAAGCAUAGGUGUACUUAACAAAUUUAGAAAUCUUGAACUACCCAAAUUCAUGGGUUUCAAACUAAUGUGCCCAUACACUUCUUGGAAACAUAUUUAGAUACCAUCUUGAAACACAAUUAACAACCAUCAACAUGAACAUAAUCGCAUAACAACAUAAAACUCAUAAUUUAUUAUUUAAAACACGAUUUUUGAGUUUCACGGAUGAAAGGGAUCUGUGGAUGAACACUACACAUACCUUAUUUCUUAAUUACAUGAAGAUUGAUGGAGAGAAUUGUUUGAACUUGAAUCUUCUAUGAAAACCCUAGCUUGUUUUCUUGAGAGGAUUUUGAGAUAAAGAAUAUGUUUUGGUGAAAUAAGGGCUUAAUUCCGUGUUUAGGCAUUAUAUAGGGGUGGGAAAAGGACCAUUUUACCCCAAAAACGGACUGUUUAAGUCACCUGGACACCCACAUGUGUGGCGCACACUUUAUCAUACACCUUAGGGUGUGCGUCGCACAUCUUAUCGCACAUAUUAGGGUGUGUGUCGCACACCUUAUCGCACACCUUAGGUUGUGUGUCGCACACCUUAUGUCAGGCGACGUACUCCACUUUGCAAAGUCAUAACUUCUUGCUCGAGUGUCGGAUUUGGGCGAAAUUGGUAUCAUUGGAAAGCUAAUUCAAAGAUAUUUCAUUUGAUAUGUUGUAAGACCUCUAAUUCAAUAUAUACAAGGAGUUAUGACCGAUUAAAUUUGACCUAAGUUUUUACGCUUACUAAAACUUGAACAAUAGGAAAACUUUCAACUUGUACUUGAGUUAGGGAACCUCUAUGAUCUAAAUUCAUGCUCAAAUAGAUUUUCACACUACAUAAUUGAUUAACACACUUAAUUUACAUAGUAUUCGAGGCCUUUGAAAUGUCUACGCAUAGGAAUGACGAAUUUUCUUUCUAGUCCAAAAUGUGGGGUAUUACAACCUCACACCAAACAUGAGCAAAAAUAGUCCUUAAUUUAUCUUGAACUAUUUAUCCCUUAUACUCACACCAAACCAUCUCUUAGUUGAAUUAGCUCAUAGCAUUUACUGUAAUAAGCAAAGAAAUGAUGAUUAGCUACAAAUUCCAUAGAAAAAUUCUAAUAUGAUUAAGACAAUAUAUACAGAUAUACAAAAGUAUCUACAUAAAAGCCGCAAGAUUAUAAUAGAAAAGAGCCUAAAUUUAAAGAACAGAAUAUUGCAUUAAGCAAAGGCAACAACUAUUAAACCAUCACGAGUAAAAACAACUUUUUGAAGUUCACAACUAAAAGCAGCUUACCAGUCAUUUCAAACACACACUAAGAAUUUUCAAAAAAUUAGUAUCAACCAAAGAAUGGAUAAAAAAAAAAAAAGUAGCUAGUUAGAAAAGAUUGAUAAAAUUUUAAUUUUUAAUAAAUAAAUGACCAACUUAAAAAUAUUUAAUAAUUAUUUUGAAUGUUCCAGCCCAUGGGCUGACCUCUGAGGCUGACGGGUUAGGCCUAUGAGGCCAACGGGCCAAGUGAGGCUGGACUUAUAAGCCUCAUUCAAAAUGGACUGAAAAAACUUAGCCUUUUUAAUUAAAGGGUUGGGUUGGGUCAACCUCAUGGGCCAAGCCCAUUUUGACAACUCUAGUUACCAAACCAUGAAAAAUUAAAUCAUAUCAUACCAUUAAGAAAGAAUCAAAACAAAUAAAUUUCUCUUAGGGUGUGUUUGGUAUGAUGGAAAAUAUUUUCAUGGAAAAUAAGUUGAUUUUCUACUUAUUUUCUUAUGUUUGGUUGGUGGGUGAAAAAUAUUUUUCGAAAAAUAUUUUAUGGUGUUUGGUUGGUGAGUAGAAAAAUAUUUUUAGUUAUUUGGUUGGUGAGAGGAAAAAAUAUUUUUUGAAAAAUACUAGUAAACAAUUAACUAGUAUAUCAGGCAACUCAACAUUCUAUCAGAACUAAUUAAAGCAUAGCAAAUAAUACUAAUAUCGAGUAUCAAAAUAUUACAAGACGCUAAAAUUUAAGCAACUACUACUUACAUAAUUCAAGCUUCCUAAUCUAUUCCCACAAAUGCACAAAAGAAAGAAGUUUGGAAGCAAAUACACGAUACAUUAUAAAAAACAAAAGAAAAGAGAGGUUUGGAAGCAAAUACACGAUACAUUAUCAAGAAUAAAAGGGUGCGAAUAAUAGUUACUUCCAAAUCCUAUGAAGCUAAACCAACCAAUAGGUGUCACUAUUGUUGUUGCUUGAAUCGUUCCAACCACACCUUAUGGAGAUUUUGAUUUUUUGCCAUGAAUGCCUUAGCUAAAGUGUCGCUUUGCACCAAAUAAUCAAAAGCAUCACUGAGGAACUCUUCAUUAUAACCUUUCAUUGCCAUGACUUCCUCAUACAACUUUGUCACAUCUAGACGACUAUCAAUCAUUCUACCAAUUGUCGCAGCCACUUCUCCAAACUUUAUUAAUAUAUUACCUAGAAAUCUUGAACCUCAAAAGAAUGUUUUCUUCUGCGACUUGCCUUGAUUUGAGAGGCUUCGGUUACUUGCACAUCCUUUUUGAUGGAUGGUCCUGCAAUGUCAUUAUCAUUAUCUUUCUCGAAAAAAUGAUCAAAAUCUAUAUCUUUAAAUGAUUUAGCAUAAUCUCCCCUAGCCCGAUCAUUUCCACACACAAGAGAUAUUUCGUCAAACAUUUUAAUUUUUUUGUUGAUCAACUUGUCAUAAUUCGGAUGUGCCUACAAUACAAAUAUUAGAGAAAAUUUGGUAUCAAAUUUAUUUGGUUCUAAUAGGUUAAUGUAACAUAAACAGACCAUUACAAGCACAAUAACUAAUUGUCAGUAACGUAUUAGUGUAAUAAGACACAAUGCAAAUUGCAGAUUGCAACACCCAUCACAGUUUCCGCUAGAAAAUUUAUAACCUUCCUUCAUUAUAACCUUUCUUAUGACAAGAUAUUAGGACGAUCUUCAAGUUGAGAAUACCUAUAAAGUCAAAUAGUUAUAAAGGGUCAAUCUUAAUGAUCAUAUACCUUUGAUUUUUUCCCUUUCAAUACCUUCACUGCCCAAUUAUUGAGAAGAAACUGCAAUCAUAUGGCUGUCAUAAAAGAAACAAGUAAUGAAUUAGUUAAAAUACAACUUGCUUUUAUGUGAAUUGCUCAUCUCUAGUGACCUUUGAAGAUACUCCUUAAGGAAGCAGUAAAAGGUGGAAACACUUCCAAAGGUACAAAGAACAAAAACUAAAAUAGAAUACAGAACAGUAGUAGUUACCAACUACUUUGCAUAUAAUUUACAUAUCAACCAAUCAUUGUCAAGCUAAAUAGUAUUAUAGUCAACAAAAAGGAAACAAAAUGAAUAUUCAGCUUUUCUAGUAUUUUAAAAGUAAACUAUAGUAUCAAAUAGCAUAUUCUUCAGAGAUAGUCAAUCACAAGAAUAGUUAGAUCAUCCAAAAUAAUACAGAGGAAUGCGGGAUCCCAUAAAGAUAUAUGUUGACUGUUGUUGCCUCAUAACACUAAUGUUAUCACCAAGCGAGCUAUGUAAUGAGGAUACCUUAUGUCAAUUGAGAAGGCGAGAUCCCGGAUCCGAUGAACUAGAUAUGGAGCAUCUUUCUCAACAAUUAUACUGGUAUUUUGAAACAAAAUCAUGAUUCAGAUGCAACAAAAUCAUAACUCGUAUGACAGCAAACAUAACCAUAAAAAACUGGCAUGUUUACGACUUUCAAUUGAACUAAUCAAGAAAUUAGAGCUACCAAUCAGAUUCUUCAAAAAGGUACCAGUUCCAGGUAAAACAAAGAAGAAAAGCAAGGAAAUAAUCGCUAGCUUGCCACGCUGAAAUAUGCACACAAUUUUACUCAACAAAAUAAAGUAAUAGAACUACCAAUCAGAAUUUCACAAAAGAAAUUAGUACCAGGGAAAACAAAUAAGCAAACAAAAAAUAGGCUAACAAACAUAUUUUACCUGAAUAUGGACCACAUAGACUUCGGGACUGGCCGUAAUCAUCUUCAAGUUGUCAUCCCAUCCAAGACCACUUUUGUUUAGUAGAGUUUGGAUUGUACUCCAAGUGUUUCUUAUUGUUUUAAGAUAGUUCUCCACAUGCUUAGAUGAACAAUCUAUUCGUAGUUGUUCGUUAAUGGCAUUCGAAACACGAUUGAAUGAGCUGGCCUUAAGUUGACUCGUCGAUUUAUUCCGUUGCUUUACUUCAUCAGCUAGAAUCUCCAACAUCAAAUAUCCCAUUGAUUUUGACCACCUGAACUGCUUCUCUCUUUUUCUCCCCAUGAUUUACUAUUAUAAGUCAAGAAACUACGUUGAAUAAGUCAUACUCAACAGAACACAAAUACAAAUUAACAUAAAUUUAUGAACUCUUCUAUACUAAAUAAAGAGAGAAAAAAAAGAAUACUCAAAGUUAACAUAAAGACAAUAAUGAAUAUUAGAAGUAUUUCUUUUAUUAAGGAUCUGCCCAAAAACUACAACAUGAAAAAGAAAUAAGGAAAUAUCAUAAGCUAAAACAAGCAGCAUUAUCUAUUUAGCUAUCAAGGUUUGUUAAUACACUAAACCCCUCAUUCCUUCGCCUAUUAUAAUUUAUAAACAUGGCAUGAGUAAUUGCAUCUCUUUUUUAUGAUCAUUUUCUAGCCUCUUUACGCCUUUCUCUUUGUGUUUGAUAACGUUGACUUCCUUGAGAUUUUUAAGUAAUUUGAACGUUUUGAGGUUGAAUUAACGCCUCAACAUCUACUUAUUCUAUUAUCAUGUCAUUUGACUCCAAAUCAACUAUGUGAUUACGUAAAAUACAUGGCACUAAUACCACAUCCACUUGUGCCUUAAAGUCCUAAAAGAGUUCAUUGCCAAUAACAUGAAAUCGUCUCUUGAGAAUGGAAAAGGCACGUUCAACUGAGAAUCUCAUUGAUGCAUGAUGAAGAUUGAAUAAUUCUUUUUCAUUUUGGGGAAGACAAUUACUAUACUCUUGCAAGUGAUAACGUAUUCCAUGAUAAGGAGGAAUAAACCCCUUACGAAGUCCAUAUCUUGCAUCUACAAGAUAGUAUUUAUCUACAAAAUCAAACUAAAGUUGAUUAAUACACAUUCUUCACCUACUUUUCCUAUAAACUCCUUUGUAUUAAAUAAGCUACCUUGUGGGAUUUGGAGACCAUGUGGUCUCUCCAACGCAUCAUUUAAUAUGCGAGAAUCAUGUGCAGAUCCUUCCCAACCAGCAAGCACAGACGUGAACUUCAAAUUAACAUUGAUGACGGCUAAUACAUUUUGUGUUGUUGUGCCUUUUCGGCCAUGAAAUCUAUUUUGUUAUUCAAUAGAAACAGAUACAAGCACAUGUGUUCCAUCAAUUACUCCUAUACAAUCCUAUAUACAACUUAAGUUAAUAAUAUGUAGGAGUAGUAUUUUUCAUAAAAUGACUUAAAAUAUGGAAUUUUAGUAUGUCACUUAUGGUAAACCAGGUAUAAUAUUGAUAAUUGUUCAUUAUUUCUGAUUGAAUGGUUUCAUCCGGUGAUUUUAUAAGGAUUGAAUAGAGCUUCAAAACUGCUUUAAGUAUAGUGUAGAAGCAUCGAUGAAUAAACUCGGUUGACCUAUAAAAGUGUGAUCCAAUCUUUCAAAAUCGUUCAUUAAAAUAAAUAAUCUCUAAAAUAUCAAUACUUGUUCUUGAACAGACAUAUUUUUGAUUGAACACAACAAACUAUUUCUUCUAAGAGCAUUGCAUAGUUCAUAAAACACAUGCUUACUCAUUCUUAUCUGACCUACACAAGGAACAUCACUUCCAUUCAAAAUACUAUUCAUGUAGAAUUCUCUUUCUUGAUCUUUAUUAACAUAAGGUUCUCUAGGAAUGCUACUUUGAUGUUCGUAGGCAACAAGUAUUGCAACUCUGAUAGCUAAAAUAAAUGUGGUUGGAAUUUCGAUUAUUGUAUCAUCUUCAUCUUGGUUAGUCGAAUUCAUCUGUUGUAGUGACCAAUUUAAUUUCAUUUACUAUAUAAUAGAGGAAAAAUAUACAAAUGUGAAAGUCCUAAGAUACUCAUGUAGCUUGAAUCUACUGCUAAUCGCUCAAUUAUCUCACAAUAACUUACCAAUUUGCAUUGAAAUUUAAACCCAAAUUUUAAUUUUCAAACAAAAUUGAACUCGAAUAAAAGUUGAUAGCUAGUAAAAUCUUUAAAUGUAAUUAUUUGCCCAAUAAUCAGCCACAUAAUUGUGAAUAUGGGUUAAACAGAAGACAAAUAUUGAAUCUUCGUUAUCAUGCUAAAAAAAAGGAAAAAAAAGAUAAUGAUCAAGGUGAUUGACAGUAACACAACUAAUAAAAGAAGUAAGAGCAAUUUAGAACAAGUAAGAGCAGUCAGUAAAGCAAGUAAAGGAUUGUUUAGAGAAGACAAAAAUGUCAAGAAACUUAGUAAAAGAAGGGGGUAAAGAAGGUGGGGCAAAAAUUCAAACAAAAUUGAACUCAAAUCAGAAUCCAAACAAGUGAAAUAAGAAAAAAUUGAAGAAAUUUUUAACCAAUCACCAUAGAAGAAAUCACUUAUACAACAUACCUUUUGAAAUUGCUGCAAAAAUUGUAGUGGGGAGAAUGAGAGAUGGAAACCCUAAAAUUAGAGAGAUAUGUGAAAUGCUUCUGGGUAAUGCUACUUUAUUGGGAGCAGGGGAGAUGGAUGGGGUGGGGGUGGGAGGAUAAGUGAGUUCUCAAAAUUUUCUAGAAAAUGACUUUCCUUGGCCCAUUAAGUAAGUCAUUUUCUUUGAAACGGAGGAAAGGAGUUAUUUUGAAAAAUAUUUUCUCAAUAUUCUAUUACAACCAAACAAAAAAAAAUAAAAAAAUAUUUUUCAGAAAAUAUUUUCCAUCAUACUAAACACACCCUUAAUAAUUAUGCCAUAUCAUACCACGGAAAACACCAUUCAAAGAGAGGGUUAAAAAACCGAGUGAUUAGGACAACUAAAAAUGAACAUACAAGUUCCCGAAAAUUUAUGUACAACUCGCACAUAGAGAUGAGAUGCGUAAUCCUCUCUUCCCUUAACAUAGCAAGUAGCCCCCAGUUUUUUGAAAAAAUUUAUUAUGGUUGAGGUCCAACCAACACAAGUUGUGUGAGGGCACCUUAUAUGUGUGAGAAUUGUUUUUAUGGGCCCCACUAUCUUUUUUCCACUUUCAUUUCCUUCAAUUCUUCUUUUUUCUAGGCUUCAUUUUUUUUAAGGGUGUUUGACCAUGAGAAAUUUUUAUUUUUCUACAAAAAUUAUUUCACUUUAGUAAAAAUAGUAAUGUUUGGCCAUAAGAAUUACAAGUAAUAUUUAAAAUUAUAUUUGAAAAGUGAAAGUAAGUUUUUUUCAUAUCAUUCUCUCACAUAAAUUGAAAAUAAAUUCAAUAUACAAAGUGAAAUAACCUUUUUGGGGGGACAAAUAAUAUUUUGCUUUUCCCCUUUUUGGGGUUAAUUUGUAUUUACUAUUUUCUUUAAUUUUCUUUUUUUUCCCCAUUUUUUAAAAUUAUUUUUUCUCAUGUUACGAUAUUAAAUAAAUCGAAGUUUUCUUUUUGCUUUUUUUUUUUCUAAUUUUCUCUUAUUUCUUAUUUCCACAUACUUGUAAACGAAUUAAGUUCUUUGAUCACUCACCAUGAUUGCAAUUUCUAUUUUUUAUUAUGUCUUUUUUUCAGUAGGUGCAGGAAAAUUUGGAUACUAAAAAUUUAAAAUUGAAUUUCAUAAGUAAUAAAUCUAUUCUUCAUGAAUUUAUAUGAUAUUAUUUGUUAUGGUUCAAUAUUAUUAAAUAAGUCUCUAAUAUUUAGAAAUAAAAAAUCAUCCUAUAUGUUUUUAUCAUUAAGGACAUCUCUUGUAUAGCAAAAUCAUUUAAAGCAGGUAGGGCCAAGAAUUAGAUCGAAUUUAGAUAGAUUGGAUAUUACAUAAACUGAAAUAUUAAUUUUUUUCUUACAACUUUAGAAUUGUCACGUCAUUAAUAGACACUAAAAAAUAAAUUAAAAUAUCGUUUAAUUGAUCUUAAAUUAAAAUAUGUUGAAUAUUUUUAAAAGAUUCUUUAAUUUUCGUGAAAAUAUGUUAUGUGAAAAGUUAAAAUUAAAAUAUUUUUAAAAAUAAAAGAGAUAUUAUUUUAAAAAUAAACUUAAAAUAUAGUAAUAAAAAUAAAUUAAAAUAUACUUUAAAUUUGAUUUAAUUACAAAGAUCUACAAAUAAAAAUUAGGAGGAAAUUUUUUUUUCAAAGUACUUAGCGUCAGGAGCACGAAGAGAAUUAAAACCAAAAUGUAAAAAAAGAAAAACAAAGAAAACAGUAAAUAACCCAAACGAAAAGAGUAAAAUAAAAAAAAUUAUCAAAAAAAAAAUAAAAAAUUAAUCACAUUGAAAGGAUAAAAGAAUAUGAAGAAGAGGAAAGGAUAAAGAAAAUUGUCCACGCGGGAUCCAAAAGAUCCACUUGUAAAAAAAAUAGAUGACUCACACAAUUAUUAUAUGGCAUGUGUGGCCACAAUAAAAUUAUUUUCCCCAGUUUUUCUAAAAGCUCUCUUUCCUCACGUCACAGUUCACUCUCUAACUUUUCCUACCAUUUCUCUUUCCCAUUCCCAUUUUCCACCGCAGAUCUGACUCUCAUCGCACCAGAUCGGAGCCGAAGAAACUCUUGCAAUGGAGGAGGCACUGGAAUUGGCGCAUGCUAAUGAUACAAAGGAGAGAAUGGCGGGGGUCGAGAGACUCCACCAACUUCUCGAAGCUUCUAGAAAGAGCCUCUCUUCUUCUGAAGUUACUUCUCUUGUAGAUGUUUGCUUAGAUCUUCUUAAAGACAACAACUUCAGAGUCUGUCAAGGUGCUUUACAAUCACUUGAUUCCGCGGCCGUUCUUUCCGGUGAACACUUUAAGCUUCACUUCAAUGCUCUUGUACCUGCUGUUGUUGAAAGAUUGGGCGAUGCCAAACAGCCCGUGAGAAAUGCUGCUAGGCGAUUGUUACUUACUUUGAUGCAGGUAUACUCAUACAUGAGUGCGCCUACUCUUCAUUUUACUCUUUAACUCAACCCUAAUUGGAUUAUGUUUCUUUCUUUUUUUCUCUCUCUUCAUGUACAUUAGUUGAGGUGAGUUUUAUGCUAAAUUUUAUUUGGUUGUCUACUUCAUACGGACCUAAAAAGAAUUUCUUCAAUUCUUAGAACAAAUUGGAUUGGUUAGAGAUUUGUAUAGUAGUGCAGGGAUAAGUGUGAGAUUUCUGAAGAACCCCUUAUUUUUGUUUUAAGAUGAAGCACUAUGAGUAUAGAGGAUUCAUAUAGCCAACCCUGGAUUGUGGUAUACUUGUUGUAUUGGUACAAACGCCAAAUAAUGGUUGAUUUUUUUCUUUUGUCUUUUUCAUUUUCAUUUUGUCGGGGUCGAGGGUGGUUGGAGGUGGUUGAGCCAUUGGAGUCAUUGAUUGGAAAGGUGAAGGUUAAAGAAAUUUAUGACCCAGUUGUUUGCUAGUGACAAAUAAUAUUUUAUGAAGGCCAGUUGAUUAGGCUAUGUCUAGUAUUUUUAGAAGGAUUCCAAAAUAUGCGAGAUGCGGCCCAAUUAAAUUUGUUGUGUAAAUCUAGGUUUUAACAAGAGGAUUUAAACUGAGAACCCUUCUAACUAAGAUUUUGAAGUUGAAACUUAAAAAUUUGAGUUUUUGAAGUUUUGAAUUGUGAAACUGUAAGUUGUGUUAUUGGACAUACAUUUUUCUUGGUAAAAUUGAAAGUUGUUGAGUGGAAGUGAAAUUCAUAGACCCCUUUUUGGGAACUUGAAAAAGUUUGAAAAUUCAUUGCCAAACAAAUAUUUGGAGAUAAUUUUUCAAAAUCUGAUCCAAAAUCUAUAGCCAACCACUAGCUUAUUUUACAAACUUCAGGUAUACUUUUAUUUGAAGUUAUAUUUCUAGCUUUCUGAUAUAUAAUCUAUUAAAUAUUUUAAUUCUUUCUUUUUAAUUGAUGACACAUCCAAUCCAUUUAAUAUGUGAUCAAGUUCCCAUUCGGUUACGAAAAAUUCAUUAUUUGGAAUGCGGAACAUUACUAAUGAUCAAGUUCUUUGACAUGUUAAUUUUGACCAAAUAUGUGAUCAUCUAAAAAAGAACAGCAAUACAAAACAAUGUUGUUAUGAUGGUUGUUGCUUAUAUGCAUAACUAAUUUAGCGAUGAUGUUUGUUGCUUAUAUGCAUAACUAAUUUAGUGUGUUAUUUAACUGUAGAAGGGUAGGGGGUGGACCCUGUCAAACCAUUCACCACUAGCCCCCGAGGAUUUCUCGGUUAUACAAAACAUGUAAAACUAUUUAGCAUGUGAAGAGUUUUUAUCAGGUAAAAGUAUUUUCAUGAAAACUGACCAUAUACAAGGGGUAUUAAAAGAUAAAGAAUCUACAAAAAUUGAUUCUCUACAAAUCUUCUAUUGGGAGCUCCAUGGGUGCACCAAAAGAAAAUAAGGGAUCAGAGAGACAGAGACUCUUCCUCAACUAGGAAAAACUCGACUUUACCCCUUUCUCUCUGUUCACACCGCUCACAUUGAUGUGAGUAGAAACACAUUGCAUGCGCUACUUCUUCACUUCUCCUACUCUUCCAACUAAACAUCAACUCUUUCACAAUACUUGGCAUUGUCCAUUAAGUGCCCACCCACCUAACAUAUCGCACCAAGCGUAUGAAGAUAAUAUAAUUGGGAUAUUCUUUGAUCAUUUUCUUUCUCUUUUCACAAGGCAGAACACAUUGUUGAACAGUCACAAAGAUGUAGAUAAGAUAACACACUUAUCAAUUUUUUAUAAGAGGACCCUUGUCAAAUUCAUUACUUAUAUUGCAAGGGGAUUUUUUCAAGGUUGAUUUAUUAACUUUCAGCUAUUGUUAGUUUGCACAGCCACAACCAUAUAGGAAACAACCUCUCUUUCCCACAAAGGUGGGGACUACGAGUAAGGUCGGGAUAAUCCUACAUCCUCCCAGACCCACCUAUGGGGUUGCACUGGGUUUGUUAUUGUAGCACAGCUGCAAUCAGCAUAAGAUGAUUUUGACUUGCGUUCGAGGGGAAGAACUAGAAACCUAUUUGGUUGAUUAUAAUAUGUAUAUUCACAGGUUUCUUCACCAACUAUCAUCGUUGAGAGGGCAGGGUCUUAUGCUUGGAUGCACAGAAGUUUCAGAGUUCGAGAAGAAUUUGCUUGUACUGUUACAUCAGCAAUUGGUCUUUUUGCAUCAACUGAGCUGCCCCUUCAGCGAGCUAUUCUUCCUCCUGUAUGUGAUUCAGCAUGAAUGCCUAUGAAGCUGUUUUGUAUGUUGUCAUACAAAAUUAACCUCUUGCUAUCCAAUUUAUGAGCAUCCUUCUCUUUUGCUGCUAUUGUCAGAUUUUGCAAAUGUUGAGUGAUCCUAAUCCUGGUGUUAGAGAUGCAGCCAUAUCGUGUAUUGAGGUUAGUGAAACUGUUCUCGUAUCUCAAUUUCAUGUAGUUGCUGUACUGUGUAGAGUGGAUAUUUUUCUCUUUUAUCUAUUAAGGAAGUAGAGAGUUUUUGUUCCAUUUGAAUUGUUAAGAGUUGUAUUUAAUUAUUGUCUGUAUUAGCGAUUUUGCUGAUGACUUGACACUGUUAAUUGUAGCUAUAUGGUAAAUUGGUAACAUUUGGAAAAGACAAAAGACAGUAUGUAUAAGACCAACUGUAGCUUCAUUAAUUUGACCGUUUUAAAAAUUCAGACAUUUUAUCGCGAAAGGGAGAUCCAGGUAUUGGUUUGCCCAUUGUUAAUAAGAUUUUAUUACUUGGUAACUUUUUCUUUUUUAUAUAAAGACUUGAUGUUGCUUACCUGAAUAUUCCUUGACAUGCAAAAGAGACCGGUAUACUUCAUAUAAUUUUACGAUAGCUUGAAUAUAGAGAAAAAGGAGCUUUGAUUAGGCAUUAUGUUGGAGUCUGGAUGGGAAGAGAAUGCUAGUUAGCAAUUUUUUUUUAAUGCCAUGGUGUUUGUGAGGGCUUGCACGGACCUUUGUUCAACUGGGGUACCUGCUAUCCUCACCAACGUAGGUACGGGUAACCUUGUCUGUUAAGGCUUGGACAGAAGAGAAGAAACUUCCUAGUUGUUUUUGCUUCUUCUAGGAUUUGAGAGAUUUAAUCCAUAAAAUCACCCCAGGUAUUUAAUAAGGUCAGUGUUUGGACAGCAAAAGACAACAAGGGUCUGCCUUGCCACGAGGCGACGCGCUCGCCUUUUUGAAGUGAGGCGCCAAGUAAUACCAAAAAUUAAAAUAUUUAGUUGCAUAUAUAAAUAACCAAAAUCUCAAUAGCACUAACAUAUUAACAAAUAUUUCAACUCAAAAACUAUAAAGUAGAUAGCAGAUACACCAUUGAAAUUGCUGUUAAUGGGAAGAUAAUUUCUGUAUUAAUUAGUGUAAUUAUAAUCUAACUGAAUUGAAUUGAACUGGGCAGAAAUAAAAAUAGGACUGGAAAAUUGUUAAAAAAUGGGCAGAUUGCAGAAAUACAAAACAGAACAAAAAACAGAGAUUAAGUCGUUAAGAGAAGAACUGAAGAAGAAGAAAGAAGAAAUUAGAAGAAAAAGAAAGAAGAAACUAGAAGAAGAAGAAAGAAGAAAGAAGAAAUUAGAAGAAGAAGAACUGAAGAAGAAGAAGAAAGAAUAAGUCGCUUGAAGUUUGUGCAAAAUGCUAAUAAAACCCUAUUAUUGACUUUUUACUUUUAAAACCCUAAACUGAUGGCUGUUUUUUCUUUUAAAGAACAAAAGGCGACGCCGUUGUCACCUUUCUCGCUGCGUCACCUCUCGCCAUUUAGCGCCUUUUGGAUAUCGCCUCGCAGUAAUAGGUGGCAAGGCCUUGCCUCUCGCUAGCGCCUUUCACAACACUGAUUAAGGUAUAUAAGAUUGAGUGUCAAUAAAAAUCAUGUGGUUUGUGAGGUUUUCUACUUUUUGAUACACGUCUCGUAUAGGGGUAAUUAUUUGCCCAUUGUUAGUAAAAUUUUAUUACUUAAUUUUUUUUUAAAAAAAUAUUAAGGCUUGGUGUUGCUUACUUGAAUAUGCCUUGAAUAGACAUGCAAAAAAGGC
rnacentral:lncRNA from 1 species